ensembl:lncRNA
AUGAACUGGGCUGAGGAGUUAAUUUGGAACAUUCAGCAGGAUGGAUGGCCUUUGGAACAAUAUGUGGAGGAGGUCCUGAGUGUUGUACAUCUGAGCCCGCUCGCUCCAGAGAGGGCUCCUGUUCCUACGUCAAGCCCAGAGAGGGCUGUUAUUUUAGCCUCUGGCCCAGGGAGGGCCUCAGAAACCAAAACUAACCCAGAGAGGGCUCCUGUUUCCACGUCAAGCCCAGUGAGGGCUCCUGUCCCUGAGUUCGACCCAGAGAGGGCUUCUGUUCUUCUGUUCAGUUUAUUUGCUGCAUAUAUCAAUAUUUAGAUUUAAAUAAAAGUUUAAAUUAAAUCUGUUUAUCAUAUCAUGUUCUCUCAUCAGAAGACUUGGAUUAAAGUCUCUGCUUUAUUUCCGCAUUUCUUUUUGUCUUAAGAGCGUCAAAGUUUUGUGUGAUUUGACUUACAACAGAGGGACAGAAAUCUCUCAGAUUUCACUUAAAAAUAUCUUUAUAUGAGUCUAAUGGGUUUGGAACAACAUAAGGCUGAGUAAAUGAUGACACAUAAAAAAGAUUUGAUUUGAUGUCUACUGUUACACCUGAGAUACACUGCACAAUUUUAGCAGUCCUAUAAGAUAAUAGCAUGUCAUACUGUGUCACAGGCGGAGUAUUGGGGGCGUGGUGUGGGGUUGAGAGACAAUCAUGAUUUUGUCUGAGCUAUGAAUAAAACAUAAAAAUUAAAGAUUCAAAUUUUCUCAUUUUAUUUGUAGUAUCUUAUUAUUUUGGUGGAUGGAAUAAGUUUUUGGCUAAAUGAAUUUCAAUUAUAUGUAAGCCUCAUAUCCCCGCACCUCAUGAUAGCAAAUUGUCGUGAUACAUGAGAGGUCUCUCUUUUCGUUAUUCUCCCGCUUUAGCAAGUUAAAUGAAAAAAGGAUAUUCGUGAUUCAGAUUUUUUUUUUUAUAAACCCACUAAUAAAAAUGUGAUGGACUGAGUAACUCCUGGAUGAAUUAGACAGGCGAUUUUCACAUGAAGCGAUGGCCUUGAGUGUGGCAUCAGUCCUCUACUAAGCAUGUACACAAGCCUUAAGAUUCACCCUCAGCUUGUGACAGCUGAAAUGGAUCUUGUGAAAUGUGCUAUCACAUCGCCAUUCACUCUUGAAAAACUUAAAGAUGAAGUAGAGAAGGACAAAUAUCAAACUUUUUCAGACUGCUGCAGCUUGCACUCAUGCUGCCCGUUGGUUAGGUUACAUCAGAAAUAAGUUUCUCAGAGGAGAAUAAGAAACAAUCUUUAAUGGCACAGGGCAGAUUCUCAAAUCUUUCUCUACUCCACAUAGUGAACGAUUUGACUGAAAAUUAAUCAGAAUAUAACGUCAGUGAAAGAAAUAUAUGGCCAUCUAUGCAACUCUGAAAGAGGCAGCUUUUUUGCACUAGGUGUUUUUUUUGUUUUUUUUUUUUUACUCUGUAAAGCAGUCAUUGUUAAUUCUAAAUGUAUUUUUAAAGUAGAAUAUAUGCUACAUACAUAUAUGAAAUGUAGAACAUAUAAAAAAGUGCUCGUGGCUCAUCUGCAAGUGGGUGCCCCCCAUGCAUAAAAGUAAAACUCUGCCUAUGCACUGUGUGACAUGGAUCUAAUAAACUUAAACUACAACAUGUGUGUAGACUGUACAAUGAUGACACCUGUUGACUCAUAGGCUACGACACACAUUUCUAUAGAAGAAUAAAACAUCAUCAGCAUGUGCAAGUGGUAAACAAAAAGAGCAUGAUAAAUCACACUUUUGCAGUUAUGUGUGCUGCAUCGUAAGCUAUCUUUGGUCACAAGACUGUGACAACGGCUGUCUUUUGAACCUCUCUCACUACACAACACGACACAGAACCACCAAUUAGGAGCCACACUCACAGAAAAUGCCAUGAUUGUUUCCCGAUGCCAAUCUUGUGUUUGGGACAGCCAAAAACCAUGCAGUGUGUCUCAGGCUUUACACACAUCACAGCCUCCCCAACAUCAUGGCACUAUGACGAUCAUCAUUUACAUUUCUGUGUAAUUAAAAAGCAUCUGGGCAAAUCUGCUCUCCCCUCUUGUUAGUAAUUAAUUCUAAACGAGCCACUGCUGCCAUCAAUGCAAAGUCACAACCAAUGACCAGCAUCUCCAUGGCAAAAUAUCCUCACUAUUUCAUGCAGAGUACAUAACAGCAAGCUGUGUGUCCUUGGAGACAAUUAACCCAAAGUUAAUUAGAAAAAGAGUCCUGUGAUUCCAUUGGACGAGACAGAGGUGUGGAACUGGGUUGAGGUUGAUUUAGAGUAAUGUUCUAGUCCUGGAAUUAAUCACAAAUGAGCAUGUAUGUGUACAUAUCCAUUA